rnacentral:rRNA from 1 species
UACGUAGGGUGCAAGCGUUGUCCGGAAUUAUUGGGCGUAAAGAGCUCGUAGGCGGUCUGUCGCGUCGAUCGUGAAAACUUGGGGCUUAACCCUGAGCUUGCGGUCGAUACGGGCAUGACUGGAGUUCGGCAGGGGAGACUGGAAUUCCUGGUGUAGCGGUGAAAUGCGCGAUAUCAGGAGGAACACCGGUGGCGAAGGCGGGUCUCUGGGCCUACUGACUCUGAGGAGCGAAAGCGUGGGGAGCGAACAGGAUUAGA